rnacentral:sRNA from 1 species
CAGAGAAGGCCUUGAAAGUUGAAAGUGAGCAUCCAUCAUCUGGAGAAAAACUAAAAUACAACCAGCAAGGGGAAGUACAACAACUUCACCAGAAUUUGCACCGGCUCCAGAUUCUAUGCAACUCAGCUGAAAAUGAGCUUCGAUAUGAACGAGGGCAGAACUUGGACUUAAAGCAACAUAAUAGCUUACUUCAGGAAGAAAACAUUAAGAUAAAGAUUGAACUAAAGCAUGCCCAACAGAAGUUAUUAGACAGCACAAAGAUGUGCUCUUCACUCACGGCAGAGUGCAAGCACUGUCAGCAGAAAAUCAAGGAACUGGAGUUGGAAGUACUUAAACACACUCAGAGCAUUAAAUCACAGAACAACCUACAGGAAAAGCUGGCUCAGGAGAAAUCUAAAGUUGCUGAUGCAGAGGAAAAGAUUUUGGACCUGCAGCGGAAAUUAGAACAUGCUCAUAAAGUCUGUCUCACAGACACUUGUAUUUCAGAGAAGCAGCAGCUAGAGGAAAAGAUAAAAGAAGCAACAGAAAAUGAAGCUAAAGUAAAGCAACAAUAUCAAGAAGAACAACAGAAGAGGAAACUUCUAUAUCAGAACGUAGAUGAGUUACACAGGCAAGUGAGAACCUUACAAGAUAAAGAAAAUCUACUGGAAAUGACCUGUUCUCAGCAACAAUCCAGAAUUCAGCAACAAGAGGCCCUACUUAAACAACUGGAAAAUGAAAAAAGAAAAUAUGAUGAGGUAAGAAAGUAAAUAGACAUGCUUCUCAGUUUUCCUAUUCCCAUUAGUAACAGCUAAUUAUUAUUGAGUGCCUAGCACUUUACUAAACGUAAUCCUUUAGUCAGGGUUCAGUCAGGAAAGUAGAAUCUACUCUAGGUAUUUCAAGCAAGAAGAGAUUUAACACAGGGAAUAAGAGCUUACAAAACAGUUGGAAGGGACCAGGGGAGAGUAGAGUCAGAAAGGACUGCUGCUAGCUUUCAAUAAAUCCAGAAGUUCAGAAAUCACAGAGAAGCCACCUCCUGCAGCGUCAAAGUGGAGAAUUUGCAGGAACUGUCCUGAAGCUCCUACAAAUGUCUCAUCUGUUGUCUGCCCUUUUAUCCAUCUGCUAGUGCUAAAGAACUGUUGGGGGGAAAGACAAACAAACCUGUUUCUUCUUUCUAUACUCGUACCACUCUGAAUACUUCACUUCUGAUAUAGUUUGGAUGAUUCUCCUCUCCAAAUCUCUUGCUGAAAUGUAAUCCCCAUCAUUGGAGGUGGGGCUUAACAGGAGGUGGUUUUGUCAUGGGGGUGGGUCCCUCAUAAAUGGCUUGAUGCUGUCCUCACGAUAAUGAAUUAUCGCGAGAUAUAGAUGUUUAAAAGUGUGUGGCACCUCUCCACUCUCUUUUGCUCCCACUAUCACCGUGUGACAUGUCUGCUCCCAUUUCACCUACCACGAUUGUUAGCUUCCUGAGUCCCUCACCAGAAGCUGACCAGAUGCCGAUACCAUGCUUCGUGUAUAGUCUGCAUAUCUGUAAGCCAAUUAAACUUCUUUUCUUUAUAAAUUACCCAGUCUCAGGUAUUUCUUUAUAGCAGUGCAAGAACAGCUUGACACAGAAAAUUGGUACCAAGAAGCGGAGCGUUACUAAAAAAGAUACCUGAAAAUGUGGAAGCAACUUUGGAACUGGGUAACAGGCAGAGAUUGGAAGAGUUUGGAGGGCUCAGAAGAAGGCAGGAGGACCAGGAGCAGUGGCUCACAACUAUAAUCCCAGCGCUUGAGAGGCUGAGGUAGGAGGAUUGCUUGAGGCCAGGAGUUCGAGACCAGCCUGGGCAACAUAGUGAGCCCUUGUCUCAACAAAAAAACAAAAAAUUAGCCAGAUAUGGUGGCAUGGACCUGUAGUACCAGCUACUCAGGAGGCUGAGGUGGGAAGAUCACUUGAGCUGGGAGGUUGGGGUUGCAAUGAGCCAUGAUCAUGCCACUACACUACAGCCUAGGUGACACAGCAAGACUCUGUCUCAAAAAAAAAGAGGAUGAAAGUUUGUAACUUCUUAGAGACUGGUUAAAUUGUUAUGACCAAAAUACUGAUAGAAAUAUGGACAGUGAAGGCCAGCCUAGUGAGGUCUCAGAUGGAAAUGAGGAAGUUAUUGGGAACUGGAAUAAACGUCACUCAUGUUACACCCUAGCAAAGAACUCCUGCAUUGUGUUCAUGUACCAAGGAUCUGUGGAAGUUUGAAUUUAAGAGUGGUAAUUUAGGGUCUCUGGCAGAAGAAAUUUCUAAGCAGCAAAGCAUUCAAGAUGUGGCCUGACUCCUUGUAACAACCUGUGAUCAGAUAUGGGAGCAAAGGAAUGACUUAAAGUUGGAACUUAUAUUCAAAAGGGAAGCAGAGCAUAAAAAUUCAGCAAAUUUGCAGCCUGGCCAUGUGGCAGAGAAAGAAUCCCAGCAGGGUAUGGAGCAACUACUUGCUAGAGAAACUAGCAUGACUAAAUGGGAGCCAAGUGCUAGUAUCCAAGACAAUGGGAAAAGGCCUCAAAGGCAAUCUCAGAGAACUUGGAGACAGCCCCUACCAUCACAGGUCCACAGACGUAGGAGGAAAGAAUGGUUUAGGGGGCCAAGCACUGGGGUACCACUGCUCUGCUCAGCCUCAGGACACUGCUCCCUGAAUCCCAGCUACUACAGCUCCAGCUGUGGCUCAAAGGACCCCAGAUACAGCUCAGGCUGCCUGUCCAGAGGAUGCAAGCCAUAAGCCUUGGUGGCUUCCAUGUGGUAUUAAACCUGUGGGCACAUAGAAUGCAAGAGUGAAGGAGGCUUGGCAGCUCCCACAUAGAUUUCAGAUGAUGUGGGAGAUAGCCUGGGUGCCCAGGCAGAACCCUGCCGCAGGGGCAGAGCCCUCACAGAGAAGUUCUAAUAGGGCAAUGCUGAGGGGAAAUGUGGGGUUGGAAGCCUCACACAGAGUCCCCACUGGGGCACUGCCUAGUGGAGCUAUAAGAAGUGGGCCACUGCCCUCCAGACUCCAGAAUGGUAGAUCCACAGGCAGCUUGCAUCCUGUACCUGGGAAAGCCCCAGACACCCAACUCCAACCAGUGAGAUCAGCCACAGGGGCUGCUGCCUGCAAAGCCACAGGAGAAGAGCUACCCAAGGCCUUGGGAGCCUACGCAUUGCACCAUUGUGCCCUGGAUGUGGGACAUGGAGUCAAGGGAGAGUAUUUUGGAGCUUUAAGAUUUAAUGACUGCCCUGCUGAGAUUUAGACUUGCAUGGGGCUUAUUGACUCUUUCUUUUGGCUAAUUUCUCCCUUUUGGAAUUGUGAUGUUUACCUAAUGCCUGUACUACCACUGUAUCUUGGGAGUAAAUGACUUAUUUUGAUUUUUACAGGCUCAUAAGUGGAAGGAGAUAAGUCUCAGAAGAGACUUAGGACUUUGGACUUGAUGCUGGAAUGAGUUAAGACUUUUGGGGACUAUUGGUAGGGAAUGAUUAUAUCUUGUAGUGUGAGAAAGACAUGCAAUUUGAGGGGUCAUGGGUGGAAUGAUACGGUUUGGUUCUUUAUCCCCUCCAAAUCUCAUCUUGAAAUGUAAUCCCCGUUGUUGGAGGUUGGGUCUGAGGGGAGGUGUUUGGGUCAUUGGAGUGCAUCCCUCAUUAAUGGCCUGGUGCUGUCCUCAUAAUAGUGAGUGUGCUCUUCAUGAGAUCUGGUUGUUUGAAAGUAUGUAGCCAGGCAUGGUAGCUCAUGCCUGUAAUCCCGGCAGUUUGGGAGGCCAAGGCGUUUGAGCUUGACCUUGAACUUGAGCUCAGGAGUUUGAGACCAGCCUUGGCAACAUGGAGAAAUCCAUCUGUACAAAAAAAUACAAAAAUUAAUUGGAUGUGUUGGCAUGCACCUGUAGUCUCAGCUAUUCAGGAGGCUGAGGUGGGGAAGAUGGCUUGAACCUGGGAGGCGGAAUUUGCAGUGAGCUGAGAUCACGCCAUUGCACUCCAGCCUGGACAACAAAGCCAGACCCUGUCUCAAAAAAUAAAUAAAUAAAUAAAAUUUAAAAUAUAAAUAAAUAAAGUAUAUGACACCUCUGCCCAUUCUCUUGCUCCUCUCACCAUAUGACAUGUGUGCUCCCACUUCACCUACCAUCAUGAUUGUGAGCUUCCUGAGGCCCUCACCAGAAGCUGAGCAGAUGCUGGCACCAUGCUUUCUGUAUAGCCGGCAGAACCAUGAGCCAAUUAAACUUCUUUUCUCUAUAAAUUACCCAGUCUCAGGUAUUCCUUUAUAGCAAUGCAAAAAUGGCCAAAUACAACUUCUGACACCAGUUAUGUGAGUUUUUCCCCAUACUAAGCAAUUCUCCAAUUCUUUGUGGACACCAACUGGAUGUACAAAAAUGUAAGUCAGUCUGACACUAUCUACCUGAAGAUAGCAUCAGAUCCCAUGAGUUAAGCUCUCAGUCCCACAAUACUGCCCCCAUUCGAGAUGCUAAUUGCAAGUCCAGGUUUUUGCUUAUGCUUCUGACCAACCAGUUAUAAAUCAGAGGUCCCCACAACCCUCUCCUUGGGUUUGAUCUUUUUGUAGGAUGGCUCACAGAAUUCAGGAAAACAGUUUGCUUACUGGAUUCCUGGCUGAUUAUAAAAGGAUACAACUCAGGAACAGCCAGAUGGAAGAGAUGCAUAGGGCAAGGCAUGUGGAAAGGGAUGUGGAACUUCCAUGACCUCUGAUCACACCACCCUCCCAGGACCUCCACAUAUUCAGCAACCUAGAAGCUCCCUAAACCCUGUCCUUUUGGGGAUUUAUGAAGACUUCAUUAUGUAGGCAUGAUUGGUUAAAUCAUUAACUGUUAGUGAUUAACUCAACCUUUAGUCCCUCUCCCUUCCUGGGAAGUCUGGGUGAGCCUGAAAGUUCCAACCCUCUAAUCACAUAAUGGUACCCCUGGCAACUUGCCUACAUCCUGAGGCUGCCCCAGAGUCUCCCCACCCCUCUGCCAUCAGUCUUCUCAUUAGUUUACAAAAAAGACACUUACCACUUCAGAGAUUCCAAGAGUUUUAGGAGCAGCGUGCCAGGAAAUAGGACAAAGAUCAAAAUAUGUAUGUAUUAUACCACAGUAACACACGAAAAAUUACUUUUCCUUCCCUUAUGCUUUCCAAAUUGUGUGCAAGUUCCUCUCAUCUGCAGAAACUACACUUUAUCCCUGCUAGCAGGGGAGUCUGGAAAAUGCAGUUUUCAGGCUUCCAAGCUCAUGGCCCAGGGGAAAGCUUAGAAGAGUGGGGUCAUGUUGAGUUCUAGCACAGUCCACUUGGGAUACUCAGCAUCCAUACAAAUGCUUUUACCUUGUGGCUUAACUUCUAAACUACAAGAAGAAUAUCAUGCUUCCACUUAAUAUGAUGCACUAUAAUUCAUAUAAAUAAAGACACACUGUCUCCAUAAAAAUAAAGAAUACUCAAAGUCCAAUCAGUAUCUAUGAUUAUUUUGGGGUGAUGUUCAUUUUACUUCAGUCUCAAUCCACAUGCGUGGAUAUGCUAUAACAUUAAAACUUAAUUAUAGGCCAGGUGUGGUGGCUCACGACUGUAAUCCCAAUGAUUUAGGAGGCUGAAGUGGGAGGAUUGCUUGAGCUCAGGAGUUCGAGACCAGCCUUGGCAACAUAGCAAGACCCUGUCUCUACAAAACAAAAUUUUUAAUUAGCUGGGCCUGAUGGUGUGUACCUGCAGCUCUAGCUACAUGGGAGGCUGAGGUGGGAGGACUGCUUGAGCCCAGGAGGUCAAGGCUUCAGUGAGCUGUGUUUGUGUCACUGCACUGCAGCCUGGGUGACAGAGUGAGACCUCAAGUGAAAAAAGAAAAAGCUUAAUUAGAAGCCAGGAACUUAUAAUUAAGCAAGUGCCUAUAGUACUAGCUGCUUAGAAGCCUGAGGCAGAAGGAUUGCUUGUGGCCAGAAGUUCAAGGCUCAGUAUGCUAUGAUUGCAUAUGUGAAUAGCCCCUGUAUUCCUGUCUGGGCAAUAUAGCCAGACCUCAUUUCUUAAAUUAAAACAUCAUGGUCUUCUGCUCUGAAUAAAAUAAAAAAGAAAUGAAAAUUUUAAAAAUUAAAACAAAAUUAUAAAGUUAACUACCAAUAAUACAAUAGCACGCAUUUUGCUAAUGGGUAUUGGCAUAAGAAGCCACUCCCAAUUUCAUCUCUUGGUCCCUUUUCAUGUAUUCUGGCUAGGGGAGAAAUAAUAUCAUAUAUCAAUCACAGUUAAAAGUUUAUACAUCAUCUUGUAAGACAACACUUCAAACCUAUGAAGUGUUGUCACCUGGCCAGCAUCAUAGCUAAGUCUUCCAUAGGUAAUUUCGCUGUUUUUUUUUUUUCAGAUUGGUUUUUCUGCAUGAUAGGAUAUAUGGUAGAACCAAUGAGUCAUAUGAUUAUAUGAGCCAUUGUUUCACUUUUCUUGCUAUAAAAUGAUUUUCUUGGUCAGAAGCAAUAUUUUUUUUUAUUACUACAAGUCUAGAUCCGAGUUAUAUAUCAUGACAAGAAAUAAGGAAUUUGGUAAGUCCACAAAUGGUGGUCCUGGCAAAAGCGUUAUGGACAGAAAAAGUAAAUCCAGGCCAGGCGUGGUGGCUCACGCCUGCCAUCCCAGCACUUUGGAAGCCCAAGGCAGGCGGAUCACUUGAGGUCAGGAAUUCGAGACCAGCCUGGCCAACAUGGUGAAAUCCCCUCUCUACUAAAAAUACAAAAAUUAGCCAGGUGUGGUGGCACAUGCCUGUAAUUCCAGCUACUUGGGAGGCUGAGGCGGGAGAAUCGCUUGAGCCUGGGAGGCGAAGGUUGCAGUGAGCUGAGAUUGCGCCACUGCAUUCCAGCCUGGGUGACAGAGCAAGACUCUGUCUCAAAAAGAGAAAAAAAGAAAAAGAAAAA